UCCAUCGGCGGUUUAGAAAACGCGGAGCAGCGGAUUUCCGCGCAGCAGGAGCUGAGCGGCGCGCGCCCGCGCUGCGCAUGCUCAGUGCCGCCGCUCCGUCAGGCUCGCGCCUCCGCAGCGGCGAGCUCCCCGCCGCCCCUCAUGGCGGCCCCCGACACCCUCGGGGGCCCCGUCCUGAAAGAUGUUGUGGCGUAUGUAGAAGUGUGGUCAGCCAGUGGAACAGAAAAUUAUUCAAAGACAUUUACAAAUCAACUUACGGACAUGGGGGCAAAGGUUUCAAAAACUUUCAACAAACAAGUAACUCACGUUGUGUUCAAAGACGGGUACCAGAGCACCUGGGCCAAAGCACAGAAGAGAGGCGUGAAGCUCGUCUCAGUGCUCUGGGUUGAAAAAUGCAGGACAGCUGGAGCGCACAUUGAAGAAUCGCUGUUCCCUGCGGCUAAUCCCAAUGAGCACCUACCAAGCCUAAUGAAAAAAAAACGCAAGUGUAUGCAGCCCAAAGAUUUUAUUCCUAAAACACCAGAAAAUGAUAAAAGACUGCAAAAGAAGUUUGAGAAAAUGGCUAAAGAGCUGCAACGGCAGAAGACCACUCUGGAUCAUGAUGUUCCUGUUCUCUUGUUUGAAUCUAAUGGCUCCUUGGUGUACAGUCCCACAGUUAAAAUGUGCAGUGGCCACCACAGUGCAAUGGAGAAGAGACUGCAGGAGAUGAAGGAGAAACGGGAGAAUCUUUCCCCCACCUCUUCCCAGAUGGUUGAAGAGUCUGACGAUAGCACCGUUCACUCUCUGUGUGAAGCAUCCUUGAACCUUUCACAUGAUACUUUGUGUUCAGAGGACUCCUUUGCUGGUGUUCUCCACUUGUCUUUUGAAGAUCUUUGUGGGGGCUCUGGAUGUGGGACUCAGCAGAGGAAACUGGGAGGAUUCCUUGAUGAAAGUAAAAGCGCCGCGUGUGCUUCCUCAGCUGUGCUGAAAACGAUCAGCGGCCGUCCGCCAGCAUCCCCCGGCUCCCUCGGUCAGUUAACCCUUCACCAAUCCCCCGGCAGUCUUUCCAGGGGAGACACCCACCGGCAGAGGGGUGCUGCGGGCCAAGUCAUCACCCCCGACGCGAAGCCAGCGCGGGAGCUGGCUGAGGGGGUGUUUGAUGAGAAGAGGGGUCUGUCUCCUACGCCAUCUGUAACAAAGGAGCCCCCCGGGAGCCCUUCAUGUCCCCAGAGCCCCUCAGCCACACGAAGAAGGGUGUCGGCGAUCUCCAGUCCACCCCCGGAGGAGAGACUGAGCAAGAGGCGGUCCCUCAGGUGGCCCCCCGCGCCCCGGCUGCAGCCGGAGAGCAGCCCGAAGUGCGCGAGCAGCUCUGCCGUGGAGACUCUGGGCCGCGGGGAGUCCUCGUACGAUGAUUACUUUUCUCCCGAUAAUCUCAAGGAGAGGAACUCGGAGAGCCUCCUUGCCGGGGUCCAGCCGCCCGCCGGCCAUGCCCUGCUCCACUGCGUGAGGAGCCUUUCCAGGAGAGAGAGGACCAGGCUCCUGGGAAGGGCUGACUUCUCCUGCAUCGGCAGAAGCCCCAGGUCAGCCGAUGGUACCGACUCAGCAGUGAAGGCUGGCUUCCGUCUCCAGAAGCCUGCAAACUGCAGAGCCGAUCCGGGCUUGAGCAGCGUGACUUCUAAGGAGACGCCUGCUGCCGAAGGGACCCCAGGGGACUGUCACCGGGCCGAGGCUCAGAGACCGGGAGACGCCUGCCCGGGCGGGAGUGACUCUCCCCAUACCCUCGAUGGACUCACUCCUCAGAAGGGAAGUCGAGGUGAUUUUACUCCUUUGAAAGGAAGCAAUAAAGAAGUGAAAGGAUGGGUUGACAUAAAAAGCACACAUAAAGAAGAUACUCCUUCUAAAAUGGUGAAUUCCCCUGAAGGUGAAGCACAAAGUGAUGAUAAGCUAAACUUUGUAGGCGACUGUGAUGUGGAAAAGUCUACAGAGGCAAGGGAAGAGUUCCCCCGAGGAUGUAGUGAAAGUGUUAAAAGAGGACCAGCGAGGCAUGAUGUUUCGGCUCAUGGGAAGGCUUCAAGGAUCUCAUGAGGAAUCGCGGAAGAGAGAGAAAGGCCAGAAGCCAACAAGAACAUUAGUCAUGACAAGCAUGCCAUCUGAGUACUGUGGUCUUUGGAAAUGGGUCAUUGGAUUUCCGAGGAACCGUUUGAAGAGUCAAACUACUUCCCUGCAGCUACUACUCAGUCACUCAGCACAAGGUCUUUGCCUCAGAGAACCGCCCGCUGCUGCCGUGAAGGAGAUACCGCUCAACCCAUGGCUGCUGCUAACAGCCCACCGCGUCGUCCUCGGACGCUCAAGUGAGGGGAGGGGUGGACGCAGGAAGGAUUCCUUUCUAUACCGUCACGUUUGCCGCCUGUGUGUGUUGUGGUUUUCACGUGAAGAAAGCUCCUUCGUGUGGCUUUCUGAUGCCUGAGUCUGUAGCUCAGAGAAGCACUGGCCCGCCCUGUUGGGCCUUUUCUAUUAAAGCCAGUCUGUGUGUCCUAGUGAUGAUCAUAAUUGAGAGGUCCCAGAACCUUUGUCACUGAAGAGCCAUACUGUUAAAUAAAGGAUGGAAAUUACAUUGUU